AAGUCUUAGAUCUUUGAGUUCAGCUCAUGAAAAAUGGGGGCAAAAACAAAAGUGUUGUGUUUAUAAUUUUGUUCAGUGUAUAUACAUGCAUGUGUGUUUAUUUAUAUAUACAUAAUAAAUAUACACAGUACACACACAUUUUAUGUACACAAAAACUUAUUUUGGAUGCGAUUAAUCAUUUGACAGUCAAAGCACUUUAAUUUAAUACUUCGUACAAAAGCCUUUGUUGGUAAUGAUAGCUUCAAAACACCUCCUGUAUGGAGAAACUAGUCGCAUACAUUGAUCAGGUGUGAUUUUGGCCCUUCUUUGAACUCUAAUCUCUAAUCUUUAGUUCUUUCCAUAGAUUUUCUAUUGGAUUCAAGUCAGGUGAUUGGCUGGUCAUUCUAGCAGCUUUACUUUCUUUCUCUGAAACCAGUUGAGAGUUUCCUUAGCUGUGUGUUUGAGACCAUUGUCUUGCUGGAAUGUCCACCCUCAUUUCAUCUUCAUCAUCCUCGUAGAUGGCAGCAGAUUUUCACCAAGAAUGUCUCAGUACAUUUUUCCAUUCAUACUUCCUUCAAUUAUAUGAAUUUUGCCAGUGCUACACCAUGAUGUUUUUGGGGUGAUGUGCAGUGCCAUUUGACCUCCAAACAUGUCUCUGCCACGGCAACAUGCCAGAAGCUGAUGGAAGUGGUACCUCAGGAGUCCUGAAGACCAAACAGAGUGACAGAUGCCUCUUCCACGCACAAGUCUCCUCGUACCCACCUCAGACCCCAUUUACUGUAUUCCUCGACUGGCUCUCCUCCUCUUGUGUGAGCCAGAAAAAGUCUUAUCCUGCUGACACAGGGAAAAUCUAUAUGAAUUACCACAUAAGAAACCUGACAACAUCGGGUCACGGGAGCAUUUCAAUUGAGAUGUAGAUUUUGCCAGUCCUUUUUCAAUCAAAUGCAUUAUACUGUAUACAUUAUAUAUAUAUAUAUAUAUAUAUAUAUAUAUAUAUAUAUAUAUAUAUAUAUAUAUAUAUAUAUAUAAUUUUGAAAAACUACCGGAGAUAGGUGUCAUAUAACUUGGUCAUCCCUUUAUUUAGGUCUUUGUUUGUGAUUUUUUUUUUGCUUCCUGCAUUGUGUUUUCAGCUUUUAUUUCAGAAUGUAUUUGAGGAAAAGUGUGUAACGUAAUGGAGAGGUGCCAUUGUCUUUCUCAGUAACCAGAACCGUGAUUCCCACCUGACUGACAAAUUUGCAUCUUGGAUUACAGAAAGUCCUAUUAUGCAUUUCUUUUUCUACAGCUGAUAUGACCAGUUUGCUGUGCCUUGUCUGUCAGUGUAGAAUUAUAUUAUUUUUCGAGAUUGACUUGAUAUGACUUUAUACAUCUACAGAUUUAUUUUUGAUAGCUUAAUGCAGUUUUUUUUUAUUGUUACUAAGAAUUUCAAGGAAUCUCCUUUUUGUUUGGUCAUGGUCCUCUAACUGAAUAUUACAGAAAGCAUAGAAGUACAGUAUUCACAAAUUCAUCAGAAACAUACAGGACAUUACAUUCAUAAACCUGGCUGUAUAUUUUUAGUUUGUCAGUUACUACGUCUUUUUAUUGUACCGUCAAGGUAUCCUAAAAAAUACCCUUAGCGAAGAGAUUUUAGUGCCUCAUCAGUUUGCGAACUGAAAAAUUCAGAAUGAGUUUGCUGGAAGAUGCGAUAUCAUUGUUGUGUUUCAGUUUUAGACAGCUGUAUGCAGUUUUUUGCGUUAUCUUAAUUUUGAUUAAACGGACAUUUGUUCCUAUACUGGACCAAAAUCAGUUGUAUGUGGGGGAGAAAAUGCACAUUUUCCGUUAAAAAGUGGUGCGAGAAACACUAGGGGUGUUUUGGGGUGAUGGAAUGGGGUGUUAUUUUAAGACAAAAUGGAAGUUGUCCUUUGGUUACUAAGAUUAUAGAAACAUUUCCAAGGCUUCUGGAUAGACGGCCUCUGUAGAUCUGAAAUGAAAAAUAAUUUUUCUUCAGUGCUGUUAUGUUUAUAGUUUAGAUGAUGAAGCUUUGUAUUAUUUAGAGAAUUACAGCAGUAUGACUAACACUCCAGCCAACAAGAUCGUUUUAUCUAAUUUAAAUAGUUAUGUAGAAAUGUACUUGUAUGUAUUUAUUUAUUAUUUGUAGAGGUUUUUUUGUGAAUCUGUAAAUGUAUUUUGUAACUGAUGGCUUGGCAUAGUUUGCAUUUGUGCCCAUUAAUAUAGAAAUAACUGCAGAUGAGCUGAGUCUGCCUGCACUGACAUCUGCCCCAUGAAAACAGAUGACAUCACAGUGAUGCUACGUUUCACUAUUUGUUUGACAUAUGAUGAAUUAUAUUUGCUCAUCGCAGAUCUUUUGGUAUCAAUGGUGUCUUUGUUAAAUACUUUAAAGAAAAAAACUUAAAGAUAUGACUGACUCUUAUGUGUAUGCUUAUAUUCUUCGGAUAAAAUUGUCCACUAAACAGUUUCUUUAAGCUUUAAACUUAUUUCUGUAAGUACUAUAUUUUGCAUUUAUAAACUAGUCUUUCAUCAGUUCAUUUUGAAGACUGUUUCUUGCCAGAUCAGCCGCAUUCAGCUGAUCUCGAAUCAGUCAUCUACACUGCUUAUAGUACUCUGAACAGUUGUAAGUAUUCUGUUGCCAACCAUCUGUCCUGUCUUCUCGGUGAUGUCCAAUGAAAUACAACUACGAAGAGAUCCUAUUGAGCAGUAUCUUGUAAUGGUUAUACGUCUACUGUACAAAAACUUUUUUUUUUCUUUUUUGAAAUUAAACCAUUCAUGCUCUGUGAUUUUUACUUUGUUGCAGGACAUUGUUGAGUAUUCAGAGAAAUAAAACAUGAAUUCAUUCAAAA
ensembl:lncRNA